UGUUUUUAUAAAGAUGAUGUUUCAAACUCCGCCUCUUGUUUAGAUCAUUGCGUACGUUUCCUAGGUCUCUCCUUCCUCGUCCAUCAUUGUGUUGCAUGCACGAUGAGUUGCAAAAAUUUGGCUUUCCCUUUUACCGCAUUUUCCUUAUUAUCGUAAUUCUACCCAAACUUCCUGAGAAAGCCAGUACAACAGUCAAGUCUUAAACGCAACGCCACUAGUGAGUCGCUAGUGUAUAUACGUCCGGUACGUCAAUCAGGUUAGACUGAAAUUAAGAAUUUUAAAUUAGCCUUCUGAGCCCAAGUUUAUACUCAUCAAGCCUUAGCCAAGAUUUCAAAAAUACAUCAAGCCUUUAGACAGCAAAUGUGGACGUGAUACAUGACCAAAAUUCUCUUUUUAUUUGUUAUGCAAUACGGAAAUUCAAUUGGAAAUUUUCAAAUAGGCAAUGGUUGUUGCGUUAUUUGCGGACUUGAUCUAACACUGUUGAAAUCAAAGAGGUGGAGUCUGUGUACAAGCUCUAUAUAAAUAUAACCGAAUGACGAAGGCUGCAUCAGUUGUAUUCGGCCGACAGUGAUAUAACACAGUGGAGACAAUGAAGGUAGUCCUUGCCACUUUGAUGAUGGCCGUCUUGGUGUCAAGCCAAACACCUUACGAAAAACCAAACUACACUAGCUACUCCUUCCCGGAAUACAAACAGGAAUACAAUCAGGAUCAGGAAUACCCUGAAGUUUACAAGCCAUAUUUAGAUUCAACUCCGGUUUACAAUAAACCUGUGCACACACAU